rnacentral:rRNA from 1 species
AACGAACGCUGGCGGCAUGCCUAACACAUGCAAGUCGAACGAGACCUUCGGGUCUAGUGGCGCACGGGUGCGUAACGCGUGGGAACCUGCCUUUAGGUUCGGAAUAACUCAGAGAAAUUUGAGCUAAUACCAGAUGAUGUCUUCGGACCAAAGAUUUAUCGCCUUUAGAUGGGCCCGCGUUGGAUUAGCUAGUUGGUGGGGUAAAGGCCUACCAAGGCGACGAUCCAUAGCUGGUCUGAGAGGAUGAUCAGCCACACUGGGACUGAGACACGGCCCAGACUCCUACGGGAGGCAGCAGUGGGGAAUAUUGGACAAUGGGCGAAAGCCUGAUCCAGCAAUGCCGCGUGAGUGAUGAAGGCCUUAGGGUUGUAAAGCUCUUUUACCCGAGAUGAUAAUGACAGUAUCGGGAGAAUAAGCUCCGGCUAACUCCGUG